GAUGAACGCUGGCGGCGUGCCUAAUACAUGCAAGUCGAGCGAACGGACGAGAAGCUUGCUUCUCUGAUGUUAGCGGCGGACGGGUGAGUAACACGUGGAUAACCUACCUAUAAGACUGGGAUAACUUCGGGAAACCGUAGCUAAUACCGGAUAAUAUUUUGAACCGCAUGGUUCAAAAGUGAAAGACGGUCUUGCUGUCACUUAUAGAUGGAUCCGCGCUGCAUAAGCUAGUUGGUAAGGUAACGGCUUACCAAGGCAACGAUGCAUAGCCGACCUGAGAGGGUGAUCGGCCACACUGGAACUGAGACACGGUCCAGACUCCUACGGGAGGCAGCAGUAGGGAAUCUUCCGCAAUGGGCGAAAGCCUGACGGAGCAACGCCGCGUGAGUGAUGAAGGUCUUCGGAUCGUAAAACUCUGUUAUUAGGGAAGAACAUAUGUGUAAGUAACUGUGCACAUCUUGACGGUACCUAAUCAGAAAGCCACGGCUAACUACGUG
rnacentral:rRNA from 1 species